rnacentral:rRNA from 1 species
AAUAGAUACCCUGGUAGUCCAUGCCGUAAACGUUGGGCACUAGGUGUGGGGCUCAUUCCACGAGUUCCGUGCCGCAGCAAACGCAUUAAGUGCCCCGCCUGGGGAGUACGGCCGCAAGGCUAAAACUCAAAGGAAUUGACGGGGGCCCGCACAAGCGGCGGAGCAUGCGGAUUAAUUCGAUGCAACGCGAAGAACCUUACCAAGGCUUGACAUGCACGGGAAGCCACCAGAGAUGGUGGUCUCUUUGGACACUCGUGCACAGGUGGUGCAUGGUUGUCGUCAGCUCGUGUCGUGAGAUGUUGGGUUAAGUCCCGCAACGAGCGCAACCCUCGUCCCAUGUUGCCAGCGGGUUAUGCCGGGGACUCAUGGGAGACUGCCGGGGUCAACUCGGAGGAAGGUGGGGAUGACGUCAAAUCAUCAUGCCCCUUAUGUCUUGGGCUUCACGCAUGCUACAAUGGCCGGUACAAAGGGCUGCGAUGCCGUAAGGUGAGCGAAUCCCAAAAGCCGGUCCAGUUCGGAUUGGGGUCG